CCUACGGGGCGCACCAGUAGGGAAUCUUCCGCAAUGGACGAAAGUCUGACGGAGCAACGCCGCGUGAGUGAUGAAGGCUUUCGGGUCGUAUAACUCUGUUGUUAGGGAAGAACAAGUGCUAGUUGAAUAAGCUGACACCUUGACGGUACCUAACCAGAAAGCCACGGCUAACUACGUGCCAGCAGCCGCGGUAAUACGUAGGUGGCAAGCGUUAUCCGGAAUUAUUGGGCGUAAAGCGCGCGCAGGUGGUUUCUUAGGUCUGAUGUGAAAGCCCACGGCUCAACCGUGGAGGGUCAUUGGAAACUGGGAGACUUGAGUGCAGAAGAGGAAAGUGGAAUUCCAUGUGUAGCGGUGAAAUGCGUAGAGAUAUGGAGGUACACCAGUGGCGAAGGCGACUUUCUGGUCUGUAACUGACACUGAGGCGCGAAAGCGUGGGGAGCAAACAGGAUUAGAUACCCCAGUAGUC
rnacentral:rRNA from 1 species